rnacentral:lncRNA from 1 species
GAGUGGGAGGAAGGCAGGCUGGCAGCACAAGACCUCACAACCACAACUCCCAGACCCCACUACUGGUUCCACUGCUGGUCCUGAGCAGCAUUUUCUGCAGGGCUCAACAUGCUGCUGGUGGAAGGCUGAGAUGGGAGAUCAGCAGAGCUUCAUGACUGCCAGUAGCAAAUCCUGUAGAAAAAGCAAAGACAGAGUUGUUAAGGAUCAUCUUCUCAGAAUCAGGACUGGGAGUGGUGAGCCCUGGAGCUUCUUCC